GUUCUCCCUUGUGGAGAACAUAUACUAAAAUUGGAACGAUACAGAGAAGAUUAGCAUGGCCCCUGCGUAAGGAUGACGCAAUUAAUUUGACGGAUUUAAUUUUUUAAU